AGACAACUUGUGGUCCAAAUACA
rnacentral:siRNA from 1 species